CUCAAAGAUUAAGCCAUGCAAGUGGCUAUUUUUAAAACCCUAUCAGUUUAUAUAUACGCGCAAGCGUACAUGCAACUGCAGACAGCUGCUUAAUACAGUCACACUUGUCUUGACUCGGUUACUACGGUUUACAACGAUUUACGCUCUUACGGAUAACUCAGGGAAAGUUUGGCUAAUACGUACGAACAAAUUUAUUCGCAUACAGUUACGCAUGAAUGAGAUUGUAUACGUGCGCAUGUUUAUUCAUCGCACACGGCAGAUAUUGUAAUUUUAUUACGAUACAUGUCAUACAAGCAUCUACAGCAUCAAGUCACAGGGUUGGCAAGUGUAUUUUUGAACCUUCAAAGCAGUCACGCAUACGGAAGAGUAGUUUCUGAUCCCAUAGAAGGAGCACUGUACAUUGAGAGACCGCUCUUAGUUCUAAGGAACGCAGCAGGCGCGUAAAUUGCCCAAUAAUAGUACAUACGGUAUAAUUACUCCUCAUUCAUUUCUAUUGAGGCAGUGAUAAGCUGUAACGGUUGAGUAUUAAUCUAAUUUGACGUGUAUCUGGCAUGCGUUAUACGUUUACGCGUAUAUUACUGCAUACGCCGAUACUAUGUGUGCUCAGUCUGGAAUGCGGUGAGUCUAAACAACUCAGAACCUAUGUUUCAUUUACAUGUAUCUGAAUUUUCAAGUGGAGGGCAAGUCUGGUGCCAGCAGCCGCGGUAAUACCAGCUCCACUGGCCUAUACAAUCUUUGUUGCGGUUAAGAGGCUCGUAGUUGGAUUGAACAACCAAUUGUUACAAUACUGUGAUCAAAUCAGCACGUAUCACGUAUGUAUUUUUAUAAUACGCAUUGUAUGUUUAUUCAUGGAAUGUUGUAUUUUUAUAUGUCGAUGGGGAUAGUUGGAGUCAACAGUACUAGUAGGCGAGCGGUGAAAUGCAUUGACCCUACCAAGACUACCAAAAGCGAAAGCAGUUGUCUAGGCUAUAUUCUUUAUACUAUACAUUACACGUAUAUGUAUUCACACUCUUUACAAUGAAGAACGAAGGUUGGGGGAUCAAAGAGGAUCAGAUACCCUCGUCGUCCCAUUUUAUACAUCAAACGAUGGGUUCUCACUCGACCAAAAAAAACAAUAUAUUAUACAUUUUAUUAUGUAUUUUAUAUGUACUGAUUUUCUAAGCUUUGCGCUCAAUUUAUAUACGGUGAGAUGUAAGUAAUGGCUUUCGUAUUAUACGUUAUGCUAAAUUAUGAUGCACGCAUUAGGCAUGCGCUUACUGCAGAAAUGUCUGAGAUAUUCCCCUCCGGGGGUAGUAUGCACGCAAGUGUGAAACUUGAAGGAAUUGACGGAAGGGCACCACAAGAACGCGUGGAGCAUGUGGCUUAAUUUGACUCAACGCGGGAAAUCUUACCGGGUCCGGACACACUGAGGAUUGACAGACAAACAAUAUUUAUAUUGUUACAAAGAUGCUAGUUCUUUCAUGAUUAUGUGAUAGGUGGUGCAUGGCCGUUCUUAGUUCGUGGAGUGAUCUGUCUGCUUAAUUGCGUUUCAAUAUUUAAAUACGUAUACGUAUGACCCAACAACUAUGUUGUUGUGUGUCUAGUAUUACUAUCAUUUUAAAGCAACGAACGUGACCGUAUCCUUUUAUUAUAUACACACAUGUAUAUCUUAAUUUUUAAAGGGACCGCUGUUUCUUUCUUUUAAACCAGAGGAAGGUUACGGCAAUAACAGGUCUGUGAUGCCCUUCGAUGUUCCGGGCUGCACACGUGCUACAAUGAUCAUUUCAUUAAGUAUCUUGUGUAUGUCUCUCAUACGUUUCCUACCCUGAGAAUGGGCGGGUAAUCAAUUAGAAGUAAUGAUUUCCUUUUUUUUUAUACGCAACCAUGUACCGUUAUAUUACAUCCCAUAUACAUUCUAUUGUAUAUGCGUGUGUGUUUUAUUAUUCGUUUGUACGCGUAACUGUUAAUUCAUGGUGGGGAUAGACCAUUGUUAAUUGUUGGUCUCGGUCUUAACUAGGAAUGCCUUGUACGGGUCAUUGGUUCAACAAACCACCCGGAAUACGUCCCUGCCCUUUGUACACACCGCCCGUCGCUCUUACCGAUGAACUUCGCUAUGAAUCUAUUGGACUGUACCAUUAUUUAUGUGUACGGAAAGAUAUAUGAAUAGUGUGGUUUAAAGGAAAGAGAAGUCGUAACAAGGCAUCAGUAGGUGAACCUGCUGAUGGAUCAUUA
rnacentral:rRNA from 1 species